GACGUAGGGAGCAAGCGUUGUCCGGAAUCAUUGGGCGUAAAGCGCGCGUAGGCGGCCCUGUAAGUCCGUUGUGAAAGUCAAAGGCUCAACCUUUGAAAGCCGAUGGAUACUGCAGGGCUAGAGUCCGGAAGAGGCGAGUGGAAUUCCUGGUGUAGCGGUGGAAUGCGCAGAUAUCAGGAGGAACACCGGUGGCGAAGGCGGAUCUCUGGGCCAUUACUGACGCUGAGGAGCGAAAGCGUGGGGAGCGAACAGG
rnacentral:rRNA from 1 species